CGGUAAUACGUAGGGAGCAAGCGUUGUCCGGAAUCACUGGGCGUAAAGGGUUCGCAGGCGGCAAUGCAAGUCUCGUGUGAAAGGCAAGGGCUCAACCCUUGUAAGCACAAGAAACUGCAUAGCUUGAGUAGUGGAGAGGCAAGUGGAAUUCCUAGUGUAGCGGUGAAAUGCGUAGAUAUUAGGAGGAAUACCGGUGGCGAAGGCGACUUGCUGGACACAAACUGACGCUGAGGAACGAAAGCGUGGGGAGCAAACAGGAUUAGAUACCCUGGUAGUCCACGCCGUAAACGAUGGAUACUAGCUGUUUGGACAGAUUAAUGUUUGAGUGGCUAAGCGAAAGUGAUAAGUAUCCCACCUGGGGAGUACGUUCGCAAGAAUGAAACUCAANGAAUUGACGGGGCCCGCNCANCGGUGGACAUGUGGUUUAUNC
rnacentral:rRNA from 1 species